rnacentral:lncRNA from 1 species
AUGCUUUUGCUUCACGCAAUCUUCACAUCUAAAGAGGUUGCUGCUGUUAAGCACUUCCACAACUUAGACACACAAAGAAAUGGGAACCCUUUGCAGCCAGUAGUGGAACAUGAGCGUGGACCCUUCAGGCUUUGUCUGAUUUCUUCCUGUUUCUCUGACAUGUUGCUAAAUCAUGGCAAUGGAAGAGCUCAUCUCCAGGCUGCCAAACCCAUGCUGCCUUCCAGGUUAGACCUAAACAGACAUCAACAUACUUAGAGCUGCUCACUUUAGUCAGCAAGGCAGGAUCCCAUUCUUGGGAUUAUAGCCUGACUAUGGAUUGGGAGUAUGGGAGAAAUUUCUAAAGGGGCUGCAAAAAGGGAAUAGUCUUAAGGCUACAGCAAAGCUGUGAAGCUGCAAUGGUCCUGAAUUGUAGGAUUUGGGGUUGGCAAGCUGAUUAUUCAGCUCUGCAGCACUCAGACCCCAACCGUGAACGUCAUAGGAACUUUGAUGUUUUUAAUGUUGUCCAUGGCUGUGCUGUAGUAGGCAGGACUGACCCUUUUAUGCUCUCACAGGUCUUUUUUUUUUCUGACAGUUUUAUGGGCAUAAAUAGAUAAAAAUCUUCAUUUUAGGAAAAGCAUAUAUUUAGGAAUUUUAGGAUACUAAUUUCAUGUUGCCCUAGAGCAUUUUCUGCAAAUGUUAGCAUGCAC